ACCACCACCUUUCCAGUCUGUUUAGGACGGAGGUUCUCGACUGGGGGUGAUUUUGUCCCCCUGGAAACCAGCGUCUGGAGAAAGGGGAGAGCAAGGGUUUCUAGCGGGUGGAGGCCUCCGGCAGCGUCCAGGAGCCCCUUCCCGCCUGGCCGUGAUGACAUCGGUGACACCGCGCUGCGGAAAACCCGCCUGGAAUCUAGGAGCGCAGCCGAGUGGAGCAGGCAGCUCAGCACGCCAGGAAGACGGCGGUGAGGUGCUGCAGACCUUCCUUGGCCUCCUCGGAGAACCUUCCCCUUGCUCCACGCGGCCCCAUCGUUCGGUGGGCAUCAUCUCAGAGCGGAGGCAUCUGCGGUGAGAGAGACACCAUCGUGGAUUCUCUGCCUGGAUUUUUUUUUUUGGGGGGGUCCAAAAAUAACGCUAUUCGAACCGGAAGCUCUUUUGGACAUUUAGACAGAAAUGUCUGAGUGUAGAGGGGCAGCUGCCAUCUGGUUUCGGGAGCAGAAAACCCCCAAACGGUGGGGGAAGCGCUGAAUGUGGUGUGUGUGAGUCCCAGCUAGAGAGCCCCUGUCCCUGCUUCCUGGGAGAGUCCUGGGGGGUCCGUGGGAUUUGGAGCAGGGAGGGCGCUGGGCAAGCCCGGAGAAAGCAGGCUCAGGUGCGGAGAGACACUUGCUCUGGUGUGGUCCAGGGCUCUGAACCUUCCCGGGUCGUCAGACGAGUGCCCGGGGGGCCGGGGCCUGACACGAGCAGCGAGAGACCCUCGCGGGCAGAGGGACGCCUGUGUGGAUGGGGGAGCCUGCAGCAGCCAGUGGUGUCCAGCCGCCUCAGUCCCCCAACCGCAACCCCGGCAAGAGGAAGGGGACCCUGACGUGACAGAUGCGUUGAAGCAGGGAGCUCAUUUCCAUCAGAAAUUGGCCUCCGAGGAGGGAAGCUGUUGGGGACAAGCUGGCCACUCUCCCGCAGGGCAAGAUUGCCGGCCAGGAUUUUCUGCAUUUAGGCUCAGAACCCGGGACAGCCGGGUCUCCCCAGAGCAGACCCCAACCCACCAAGGUUUGAUAGAAACUACUUUGAUUUUUCCUUCACAGCAGGGGGGGAGGCAUUUCAAUGGAGGCCUUAGGCCUUCCCUCAGGGUCCUGGCUGGGCAGCGGGGGUGGGCAGAGGUAAGCCAAGGCGAUAGCAGCUGCCAGCAUCCCCAGCACCUACUUGGAGUCUCGCACAGGUGGUAGAGAUAAUAGUAUCGCUACAGCUCUUCAGCUGAGCACUGGGAAAGGAGCCCUCCCCACCAUUCAGAUGGAGGACCAGCUGGGAGGGCUUCUUGGAAGAGGAGGCCUGUGAAUCAUUCCUAGAAAGCGUGUGUCCGCAAACCAGAACCGAAACCUGCAAAUGCCUCAAGGUCAGGAAGUUGACACUGAAGGACACACAUCACCAAAGCCUCUCUUCUGGACAGUGACCGGUGGUCCGACUGGACGCCACGUGGUAACCUUGUCCCCAGACCCCGUUCUGAGCAUGGCCGUCAGUCAACCGCCCAAAUUACAGAUACUCACAGUGCUGGUGCUUGUCAAAGACAAAACCAGACAUGUAAGGAGAGUGAUUUUAUUUCUGCAGUCGGGAGAGCUUUCAGCUGGAGGUGAGCGUGCGUCUCCUCCGGGAGGUCUCGCCCUGGGCUUGUGUUGGGAGGAGGAGCCAAGUGUAGGUGGGGGUGUCACAACUGGGACUUGGGGGGGGUCUCGGCCGCUCUGUCCAGCUGUUUCAGGAGGGCAAGCCAAUCAGCUAAUCACUUAUGAGACAAAUCAUGAGAAUUCACAGGUGGACAAGGAGGGACACCUGCCAGUCUUGUCUCGGUCACAGGAGGAAAGGGCCGCUUUGCAGGAGCCAUUUGUGUCCCCGACACAGAAAGGGUGGUGGGGUGCGGGGUCCUGCACCGCCACUGUUUUCCGGGGCGCGGGGUCAGACAUGUUUCAACACUGUCACGCCCGAAUUUCUGUACACGAGAGGCUAAAGGGGAGCCACUCGGCUGAAGGGGUGAAGAGAGGCUACUUGGAAACAGUAGCAGUUUUCUAAGGAUGCUCAUAUUUACAUUUAUAAAAGGUUACAGAAGCAUGAAUUUUCCUUUUAAAAAUUGUUAUUACAACCCACAUAUGUUAUGUUAAUGACUGACGGGGAACAGAGGGUGUGUGGGGCGGGUAGUGCAGGCAGUGUCCUUACGCCUUGCGGACCGUUGAGGCUGAGGGCCCGGGGAGGCGGGACGUAGCAGCGCUUGCAGACCACCUGGCAGCUUGCAGACCACCCGGCACGCUUGCAGAAAAUGCACACUCCUGGGUCGCCCGUGAGCUGCCGUGUCAGGAUCUGGGCUUGGGGAGGAGCAGGGCUCAAGUCUCUCUAGUCCUUGCUGGUGCGGGCCGUGGAGGCUUUUCAGUGGUGACACCGGGAAUGAAUGAUGGAGGGGCAUGGGGAGGAGUAUUCCAGACACGGGAACGGGGACCCGGAGGUAGGGAGGAGCCUGGGGCUCACGGGCACUGGACAGAAGUGGAGGUGGCCGGCAGGAGGAGAGUUGCACAGGGUGCGGCCGGGAGAGGGGGGACUUGUUGGGUGCAGCUUGGCCCGGAGGUCCCCCCACACCCCGGACUUCAUCCUGAGACACGUGGAGAGUCCCUGAGGGUUUAGCUGGGGGCCGUGACUAGGUCACUGGCCCGUCAUACUCAGAGUGUCCAAACUGGACUCCAUGGUCUCGCCAGGCCUCAGUGCUCUCCCUCCUACGUUCACCUUCAGCAGGCAUCACCCACCCAGACACCCACCCAGACACCCACCCAGACACCCAAUCAGCCUGGCCACCCUGCACUCUUCAGGCUCAUCCCAGCAGCCCUCAAAUCCAUCUGCUUCCCUCCCCUGCCAUAACCUGAGAUGGGGCAGUACCUUCUCUCACUUGGGCAGUCAGCAACCUGGGCUUCCUGCCUCCCAGCUUGCCCCUCGCAGCCCAUUCCCCCUUCGUGUAGCUCGACCUCACCCACACGACGAUGGCCCACCACCCUCAGCUGCCGUCCUUGCAGUCAGGCCCCUGCUGGCCCUCUGGUCUCAUCUGGCACCGGCGCCCUGGACUCUACCACCCAGCCUUCAAACCCUGCCCGUCCUCACCUCCAGGCCUUGCCCCUCAGCCCAGAACGUGCCUUCUCCUGACUGUCUCUGACUCAUCCUUCGGGUCUGGGCUCAAGGCGCCAUCUUGGGAGGCAUUCCGUGGUCUCCCCAGGCCGGGUGCUUCCACCAUUCUGAGGCUGCUGGUCCCAUCGCGUUGUAAGUAUCCGCUCCCAGUGUCCCCACGAGGGCCUGGCCCUCCUCAGGGACACGUCGGGGUCUUUCUGCUGGAGCCCCAGCCUCUCGCAGGCCACAUGGGAGGUGCUGGCGAGUAACUGCCCCAAGGGGGUUGGUCUCUUGCCUCCCUGCCCCCCCCUUGCUGAGCUGAUGGGCGCGCUGACGUGGCGGCUUCCAUCCCGCUGGCUGCUGCUUUCUCGGUAUCCUCCUCCGGGCCCCUCACCUCCCACCCUACCUCCCAACCUGUUCAUUGCCUCCUCUGGCUUUGGUGCUUGUGAGACCGUCCAGGAUAAUUAAGAGAGAGAAGUUUUAUGCUGUUUAUGGGGCUUCGAUCAAAGAUUUUAAUUAACCUACCUUGCUUUAAGCCUUUGAAAGUUCAUUCCCCAGGGCCGACUGUUUGAUAAUGGAAUUAAUACUUCAGGCAGCGUGGAAGGUGGAGGCCCAGACAUGGGGGCCCAGUGACUGUCUCAUUAACCCUUCCCAAGAAGGAUGGAUUUCAGCUCAUCCUGAAGGAUUCAUCUCGACCGGAGCUACUCACUGAUGAAAGGCGGUGCCAGGAAUGGUGGUGAGAUCCCCGUCACUGGAGGCAUGUCAGCAGACCCUAGACGAGCUCCCGGGAGGAAUCUUGAGGCCAUGGUAAGCAGCUCGUGUCAUGCGUAGACGUUGGAGGAAGUGAGUGAGGAAGAGCUCUCGUCUCUACCCCAUCGGCUCUGAGAAGACAGAAACACUAAAAUCUCAACGAAGGCAUAUUCCUGAGUCUCUGCAGUGCGCCCCGGGCGGCGGGAGAAGAGAGGAAGUGCGAGGCCUGAGGUCUCCCCUCACCUUCGAGAAGUUCGGGGAAGAAAAGCCACGGGUGCUCCUUUGUAAAAGGGAGAGUGCGGUGCCCUCAUGGGCUGAAAUGGGGGUGGAAGGAGGUUGAGAGGGAGAAAACAUAGAGAACAAUGUUCAGCUGGGCUCCCGUCCCUCCGCCCCUGGUUCCUGUUUGCAUUUUGUCCGUGGCUUGAAUUUAAACCAUAAUCGAUCAGUUCAUUUAUUAUUUUUUUAAAAGAUUUUAUUUAUUUGAGAGAGAGUAAGAGAGAUCCAAGAGGGAGAGGGAGAAACAGACUCGUCACUGAGCAGAGUCCGAUGCAAGACUCGAUCCUAGGACCCUGAGAUCAUGACCCGAGCCAAAGGCAGACGCUUCACCAACUAAGCCACCCAGGUGCCCAUUAAUCAGUUCAUUUAAAGUGAUUUCUCUCGGCACCUUUAGCUGCCUGGGUGUUAAAGCACAGCCCCGGGAGGGAGGGGGCAAGGGGGCAGCCCCCACCCGACCCAGGAGACUCGGUCUGCAGGCUGUGGUGAGCGGGUGACAGCUGGGGACCCCACGAGGCUGUCUGCGUGUGCGGGGUCUCGAGGGGUGUGCGUUAGAGGGCGGAUCUGGCCUUGGUGAUGGCCCUUCCCUAUAUGGGUUUACACCGCACAGCUGAAAACACAUGUAUUUCCACGCCUCCUCGUCCGACUUCACUCGCUUUCAUCCACGGGAAGACUGCUGACGAGCCCGUGAGCUGGCCCAGAACGCCCUUUUGAAUGCAAAAGCCCAUUUUCAACAUCAAAAUGUUUUCUGAACUUCCAGAUGAGAGAGUUCUUUAAUAUCCACCAAUGAGGAAGCUAUGGAACAGAAAGCUGUACUUUGGGGACAUUUAUUUGUAUAAUGAGCUAUUUCAUAGGUAUUAUGCUAAUAUGUUCUUACUUUCAUAAGAUUUCAACAGUACAGGGCGAAACCGGGGUAAAGGAACACUUCCAGACACAAGUCAAGGUUUGUCGCUUACUGGUGGAGGGUGCCCAGGGAGCCAGCAGGUGCAAACGUGCGGGGACGGACCUGCUUCCCUGCAGCCAGACUUCACACGUCGUCAAGAAAUCGCUUUCCCAUGAGAGCCUAUGGACUCUGAGAAACGAACUGAGGGCUUCAGAGGGGAGGGGGUGGGGGAAUGGGAUAGACUGGUGAUGGGUAGUAAGGAGGGCACGUAUUGCAUGGUGCACUGGGUGUUACACACAACUAAUGAAGCAUCGAACUUUACAUCAAAAACCAGGGAUGUACUGUAUGGUGACUAACAUAAUAAAAAAAAACAUUAAAAAAAAAAAGAAAAAAAAAGAAAUCGCUUUCCUCCCAGAAGGGGGUUAAAUUGGCACCAUGGAGAAUGUGGAACCAUCUUCAGAUAUGACUCGUUAAUCACAGCCGUCGGGUCACGGAUCUGAGAAUCUCCGUCUGGGGACGUCAGCUGAAUGCCCUCAGCGACAGGGCUUGUCCUCCCCCAAGGAGCCGGUCACCCCGAGUGGGCUCCAGCCCCGGGUCCUGCCUCCCCUCGACCUCUCAGAAAGCGUCUCCGCGGCCUCAAAGGUGCCGAACACACAGCGCGUGCUGGUCGGUCUUCGUCUUGAGCAAAACUCUUCUCUCAGGGGGGACGCCACCCGUCUCUGCCCAUCACUCCCCUUCCGUUCCCGCAGGAACCGCGCGGGCCCCUGGAUGUCCGCUCUUCGUGUGCGCACGCGAACACAGCGGGUAUCACACGAGACGCGCUAUUGCUCAAUGUGGCUACUGUCCGUGAUGUCGGGAGAAUCCCUCUGUGUCCGUUCACGGGCGUCUCCGCCUUAUUUCAACGUCUGCAGAGAACGCCCACGUUCGGAAAUUUCUCUAGCCGCUGCCCCACGGGUGUGCGUUUGUGGGUUCCCCACCCACUGCAGUCUGUUACACGGCGGGCUCCCGCGACCCGCGCAGGGGUGUCUUUGCGCGCGCACCCGGCAUUUCUCCCGGCGGGUUUCCAGAAGCGCUUUCGGCUGGGGCGAAGGGAACGCAACGUCCGGACGUGGCCGAUGACGCCUGACGGCUUCCGACUGAUCUCACAGGUGCGCACGGUUUCCGGCAAGUACCUGAAAACAGCUGUUCCUCCUCUUCUUGCUGAUGUUUGCUACUAUCAAUUGUUGUAAUUUUUGCCAGUAUAAUGGGGGCAAAAUCGUAUCUCGUUAUUGUUUUAAUUUCCAUUUCCCUGUUUGCUAGCGGAAGCUUUGCAUCCUCUCAUGUGUUUAUUGACAUUUGCAUUUUUCUUCUGUGAAUUGCCUAUUCAUACAAUUUUAUUUUUAUUGUGUUGUGUGUCUUUUUUCUAUUGAUUUGCGUAAGAUCCUGUUGUUUUUGGGCCAUAAAUUCUCAGCGUGUUCAAUGUGCUACAUGGAACGGCUCCUGAUUUGCUGCUUGGAAUUUAACUUUGUAUGUAAGGCAUCAUUUCUCAACAAAGUGCUUAAAAAUUUGAUGAGA